rnacentral:rRNA from 1 species
UACGGAGGGUGCAAGCGUUGUUCGGAAUUACUGGGCGUAAAGCGCGCGUAGGUGGUUAUGUAAGUUAGAUGUGAAAGUCCACGGCUCAACCGUGGAAGUGCAUUUAAAACUGUAUAACUUGAGUACUGGAGGGGGUAGUGGAAUUCCCGGUGUAGAGGUGAAAUUCGUAGAUAUCGGGAGGAAUACCGGUGGCGAAGGCGACUACCUGGCCAGAUACUGACACUGAGGUGCGAAAGCGUGGGGAGCAAACAGG